rnacentral:rRNA from 1 species
UACAGAGGGGGCAAGCGUUGUUCGGAAUUACUGGGCGUAAAGGGCUCGUAGGCGGCCAACUAAGUCAUACGUGAAAUCCCUCGGCUUAACCGGGGAACUGCGUCUGAUACUGGAUGGCUUGAGGUUGGGAGAGGGAUGCGGAAUUCCAGGUGUAGCGGUGAAAUGCGUAGAUAUCUGGAGGAACACCGGUGGCGAAGGCGGCAUCCUGGACCAAUUCUGACACUGAGGAGCGAAAGCCAGGGGAGCAAACGGG